GGGUAGCUUACCUUAGAACCCACGGCCUGGCAACAGCGGGGACAGAAGGGGGCCAUCUCCCUGCCUCCCUCGUGCGGGACUUGCGAGGACCCAUUCCCCUGAAGCUACUCUACAGACAAGAGUGCCUGGGUGCCACCUGCCCAUGGCCCUCACCAGGAGAAUCUUCUGCCUCUUCAUCCCAGUCCCCCGUGGUCUAAGGUCCAGAGCCUGCCCUUCCUCACUGCUGAUCACAGCGACUUUGAAGCGGGCACAAACCUGUAGUCCCAGCUACUUGGCGAAUAUCAGUCCGGGCAACUGAGCUGGUGAGAUGACUUACUGGGUCAGAGCCCCUGCCACGACGCCCAGCUGCUGGAGACCGAUCUUCAGAACCCACCUGGUGGAAGAGCUGACUCUUGUAAGUUGCCUUCCGGCCACCACACAUGUGCCGUGCCGUGAGUGCCCUACCCACAUCCCCCUCACACACAAAAUAAACAUGAAAAUUAUUUGAAAGGGAA